AUUGAACGCUGGCGGCAGGCCUAACACAUGCAAGUCGAGCGAGCGGCGGACGGGUGAGUAAUGUAUGGGGAUCUGCCAGAUAGAGGGGGCUAACUACUGGAAACGGUGGCUAAUACCGCAUACUAUCGGAUGAACCCAUAUGGGAUGAGCUAGUCGGGGGGGUAAAGGCUCACCUAGGCGACGAUCUCUAGCUGGUCUGAGCGGAUGAUCAGCCACACUGGAACUGAGACACGGCCCAGCCUCCUCCGGGAGGCAGCAGUGGGGAAUAUUGCACAAUGGGCGCAAGCCUGAUGCAGCCAUGCCGCGUGUAUGAAGAAGGCCUUAGGGUUUUAAAGUACUUUCAGCGGGGAGGCGUUACCCGCAGAAGAAGCACCGGCUAACUCCGUGCCAGCAGCCGCGGUAAUAC
rnacentral:rRNA from 1 species